GUGUGCUGGUCAUUUUGUCGGCGGGGAUGGGCCAACAGCGUCCCAUCCUUAUCCGACACCAGCAGACGGAGCGCGAGUGCAUAAAGCUAGGCGCGCACGAAAAAGAGCAUCGGAAAGUGCAAGUAGGCAGGACAGCAAAGACAAGAGACCAUCGAUUAGAGCAGAGAGCUUGUUAGUACACACAAUUAUAUACACAUCCAUAACACAGUGCUGAUUAAAAGUUAUUUUAUUAUUUAUCAUGUGUCACAAUUCACAUUUUCCACAAACAUGAACAUCAAACAGAAACAGAAUCACUUUUGUUGUUUCAAUUGUUUACAGGGAUACCAUCUAGUUCACAGUGAAUGUUCUGAAUUAUUUACAGGGAUACCUACGAUGCUGCAGUAAACAAUGAUGCAGACAAAGGGAUAGAGGUGCAAACAGAUGAACAUUGGAUUUCGCCGCUGGAUAUGCUUGCAGUGACUGCAGAGUUGGAAAUGGCAAAAACUGAAAUCAGUCGCUUACAAGCAAAAGUGGAAAAUUUAGAAACAGAGCUACAGAAAGAACAGAAACGAAAACUGUUUGGUAUUGAUGCUGUUGUUGAAUCUGAGAAG